CAUCCCUGGGAGGCAGCAGGAAAAAAGGCAGGGUUAAUAGAAAUAUGUAUUUGGCCAGUGGAUUGUAACAAACCCUAACAGGUGUUGGGCUGUUACCAGCAUAUUAAUCUGGCCAGCAGCUGAUGUACUCCUAUUUUAAGGUCACUCAGUGCUACUGACUUUUUUACGAAGUCCUCUUGGUAUGAUGUUUCUCAGGGAAGUUGAUUGAAAAGUUUUAUAGGCUGACAAUGGACUGAAAGGGAUUAUCAUUUACAAGUGACUAAGGGCAAUAUGGCUGAUCAGAUCACAUUUGAGUGUCUCAACUAUUUAGAGAGGAUUCUGAGAUAUUUUCAGCAAUUGGUUGCAUCUUCAGAUCUGUGACUGCUUUCUUUCUUAUAUUUUAGAAAGAAAAAAAUAUGUAUUUGUAUCAGACACAAUUAUGUUGAUGUGGAAAUUCCGUCUUUGGAAUUUACUUUUUCUUGUAUGCUAGGAUCUGCUUAUUUUCCUUAGAACUGGAAAGAAAAUAUACAACCCUAAAACAUGGUGAAGCGUCUUGCCUUACCCAUAGCAUCUCUGUGUCAGCUUGUUCUUCUGAUCUGCAGUUGUCCGCAGAUAUAGUAACCUAGGCAGCAGCUCCAUCACAGGUAAUGGUGACUAAAUAUAGGUGCUAAUACAGUGCCUGUGCUUUGGUCUUCUGGUUGUCUGUAAGAAGCCCAGCACUAUUCCUAUGCUUUGAUGACCCACAAGAUCCAUUUGGACCCUACCAGCAACUCAGUAUGGCCAAGCAGCUGCAGAAAAUACUCAUUUCUGGAUUACUCAUCUGAGAGCGUCUGCCUUCUCUUAUACCUGACUGUUCCAGCUCCUAUACCUGAUUACCACAACUCCCACUUUCCCUGGCUCUCCCUUCCCUUAUAUUCUUCAAACUUAUCGCCCUCUAAAAUAAGGCCAUUUGAAACAUUUUGUAGUGACAGAGGCAGCUGAGUUAACCCGUGUAAUGUAAGAAACAUAGGUAGCCCCAGAAAUGCCAAGGCAGUGAAAAGAAUUCAGAAAGUUUGUUUGGAAGGCCAGAACACAAAAAACUUACAAAAUACCUAACAGUGUGGUUUCCACACCGCCUGAGGGAGAAAAAGGCCAGUUCCCUCCCUCUCAGGGCCUCUUUAUCCUCUCUGUUUCUCCCCCGCCUUCCCAAGGCCUCUGUGCAUGUCUGUUAGGGCUAUUUCUCUCCAGCAUAGGAGAGAGAGAGAGAUAACAUAGGUCUCUCUGUAACCCCCUCUGGACUGCAGAAGGGGAAAAAAAAACAUCUAACCCUCUUGAGAAGGCACUUUGCAGUCUUCCUAAGAGAAAACAAGAAUUUCCAGCUUUCCUGUUACAAAUGCUUCCAAAAGCAAACUACCUCUACAAUCUUAAUUUCUCAAGGAAUCUGACUCUCUCUUACACUUUGCCAUGUUCCUUUUUUUCUGGUUUUCAUUUUUCAUAAGGACUUCAGGAUAAAGACUGUAUUAUUUUAAUGUUUGCAAAUUAUCUAGGAUAUAAUGUUAUAGUCCACAUUUUUGUCAGCCUUAAAAAGAGAGAAAUCUUUCAGACACUACGAUUCACCACCAUUGUGGCUACUGACACAUGGGAUAAUACACACACAAAAAUACAGAAGAGUGGAAUGUGUCCCUUAUUUUUUGUCAAUUUUUCAUCUGGAUUGUAAUUCCAUUCAAAACUACAUAUUAAAAAUACCAUCAUAUCUUCAUUAAUUAGUGUUAGCCAGGGUAGCACUUCAAUGUUUCAUACACUGAAAUUUAGUUGGCUCUAUUUUAUACCCUAACAUCCACUCAAGGUACUGCAGAGUAUCCUUCCUUAGUUCACACCAAUAAGAGGAGACUGGCUAUACAACUAAGAGUUUCUACUCUUUAGAGAGAGAAGGAAAGGACCAGUUCAGGAAACAAUGCAGGCCACACAGUGUUGACCCAGUGCAUCCUAGAUAAAUGGUCUUCUGACAUGAGACACCUGACAGAGAUGGGACCCCUGUGCUCACACCAGUACAAUGCCCAUCCUUCCUUUUACACAGCAGGAUCCAAAAGCAGGCUGUGAAUCAUAAUGGAGGCUGCCUCCAGAUACCUCUAGAGUUGACCUGGAGGCUACAUUCACUGGAGCUUGGGUGUGGAAAGUGCUAACCUGGAAGAGGUUAUCCUCUCCCAAGACUACUCACCUUGAAUUUCUUGGCUGCUUCCUUUUCUUCUACAAGGUCUUAGUUUGUGGGAUCUUUUUUGCACUAAGUUUGUGUGUCACCUUUGAUUCAGAGAAAGAGAAGGAAUGGGAGAUGCAGACAUGAUCAGAAAGCUAAGGGUGAAGACACAUGUCCAUCUGCAAGACUGAGGACUGACUGCUGGGCUGACAGUGUGUCUGGAAAACCAUGGUUCCACAUGGAGUGAGAAGAGUUAGCAUUAGCAUCUCUGGAAGAGAGAGAAGGAAAGAAAGUAGAAGAAGAGCACUUGUCCCUCAGGUAUUGGGAUAGGAACUUGAGGUCCAGGUGGGAAGGAGAGUAGUACUGUGAUGUCCUAGUUAGAACAUCUGGGACCAAUUCAUCACUGGAUGGGUGUAACCCAAACUGUGUAUUCUAUAGCCUUCCAUGCCAUUUCCCAGAAACUGUUAUCAAUAGAGCAUUUAUACUCUCUGCCCAGAGCAGCCUGACUCCUCAGGCUAUAAACUAGGCGUUAAGAGGCCUGCGAGAUAGGAAGAUGUUCCUGUCCUCACACCCUUUUAUGGAAUUCCCUGCUCUGAGGGAAGGAUUGAGCAUUCCUGCCUAAACUGGAGAAUAUAUAAACUUGGAGUUUUGAAACCUUUUUACCACUCGUGGGAUCCAGAGGAAGACUGCAGCUCAUCGCUCUCGGCCAGACUGCAGCUCACAGCUCUCAACCAGACUGAGACCACCACCCUCAACUGGACUGCAAUCGUCACUUUUGACCAGACUGCAACAGCUCUCCCACCAGCAGGUUUUUCCCCUCUCCCUUUACUUUGGACUCAGGGGGGGCCAAGGAACACCACUUUGUUCAUGCCCCAGGGUGCUGGGUUAUACAUUUGGGUUUUGUGGGUUAAGACCAAUUGUUUGUCUGUAUAAUUAUACUUAUUGUAUUAUUUUAUUAAAUUGUUAUUCUGACUUAUAA